GAUGAAGAACGCAGUGAAAUGCGAUACGUAAUGUGAAUUGCAAAUUCAGUGAAUCAUCGAGUCUUUGAACGCACAUUGCGCCCCCUGGUAUUCCGGGGGGCAUGCCUGUCCGAGCGUCAUUGCUGCCCUCAAGCACGGCUUGUGUGUUGGGCCCCGUCCUCCGAUCCCGGGGGACGGGCCCGAAAGGCAGCGGCGGCACCGCGUCCGGUCCUCGAGCGUAUGGGGCUUUGUCACCCGCUCUGUAGGCCCGGCCGGCGCUUGCCGAUCAACCCAAAUUUUUAUCCAGGUUGACCUCGGAUCAGGUAGGGAUACCCGCUGAACUUAAGCAUAUCAAUUAGCGGAGGA
rnacentral:misc_RNA from 1 species